AUGAACGCUGGCGGCGUGCCUAAUACAUGCAAGUCGAGCGAACAGACGAGGAGCUUGCUCCUCUGACGUUAGCGGCGGACGGGUGAGUAACACGUGGAUAACCUACCUAUAAGACUGGGAUAACUUCGGGAAACCGGAGCUAAUACCGGAUAAUAUAUUGAACCGCAUGGUUCAAUAGUGAAAGACGGUUUUGCUGUCACUUAUAGAUGGAUCCGCGCCGCAUUAGCUAGUUGGUAAGGUAACGGCUUACCAAGGCAACGAUGCGUAGCCGACCUGAGAGGGUGAUCGGCCACACUGGAACUGAGACACGGUCCAGACUCCUACGGGAGGCAGCAGUAGGGAAUCUUCCGCAAUGGGCGAAAGCCUGACGGAGCAACGCCGCGUGAGUGAUGAAGGUCUUCGGAUCGAAAAACUCUGUUAUUAGGGAAGAACAAAUGUGUAAGUAACUAUGCACGUCUUGACGGUACCUAAUCAGAAAGCCACGGCUAACUACGUG
rnacentral:rRNA from 1 species